AGGCAGAAGAUCGUCUGGGAGUGGCAGGAGCUGCGAGGGUUUCUGGAGGAGCAGGAGCAGCGGCUGCUGGCCCGGCUGGAGGAGCUGGAGGGAGCCAUUGUCAAGCGAAGGGAUGAGGGUGUCUGCAGCCUGUCCUGGCAGAUUUCCCUGCUCAGCGAGAGGGGAGGAGAGAAGGGGCAGCAGCCGCUGAGCCAACCCCUGCAGGGUGCUGGGAGCACUGUGGGCAGGGAGGACGGGACGUUUCGGAAG